rnacentral:tRNA from 2 species
GCCCCUGAUCUCCUGUGAGGAGACACGGGGCCACCGGAGCCGUGUGCGCAGGUUCGAAUCCUGCCGGGGGCA